CUCCUAAAGUACUGGGAUUACAGGUAUGAGCCACCGUGCCUGGCCAGAAUAUAAUACUUCACCACACAUAAUUACUUUUGGGAUAAGAGCUCAUAACAUUGACUGUGUUAGCAUUUUCCAAAAAUACAUUAUUGUUAACUGUAGUCACCAUGCUGUACAAUAGAUUUCUUGAAUUUAUUCCUCCUAGGCAACUAUGUGUUAUUUUAUAGACAUGUCUCCAGAUGCCCCUUUCUUGUAAAUACCCAAGCAUCUGGUAACCAGCAUUCUACUCUCUGGCUUAUUUCACUUAGCAUAGUGUCUUCCAGAUUUAU
rnacentral:lncRNA from 1 species